rnacentral:rRNA from 1 species
AGUGAACGCUGGCGGUAGGCCUAACACAUGCAAGUCGAACGGCAGCACAGAGGAGCUUGCUCCUUGGGUGGCGAGUGGCGGACGGGUGAGGAAUACAUCGGAAUCUACUCUGUCGUGGGGGAUAACGUAGGGAAACUUACGCUAAUACCGCAUACGACCUACGGGUGAAAGCAGGGGACCUUCGGGCCUUGCGCGAUUGAAUGAGCCGAUGUCGGAUUAGCUAGUUGGCGGGGUAAAGGCCCACCAAGGCGACGAUCCGUAGCUGGUCUGAGAGGAUGAUCAGCCACACUGGAACUGAGACACGGUCCAGACUCCUACGGGAGGCAGCAGUGGGGAAUAUUGGACAAUGGGCGCAAGCCUGAUCCAGCCAUACCGCGUGGGUGAAGAAGGCCUUCGGGUUGUAAAGCCCUUUUGUUGGGAAAGAAAUCCAGCUGGCUAAUACCCGGUUGGGAUGACAGUACCCAAAGAAUACGCACCGGCUAACUUCGUGCCAGCCGCCGCAGUAA